rnacentral:lncRNA from 1 species
GUCACCACAUGUUUACAUCUGCGUGAUUCAUCAGUUCGAUCGACUAUUUUUCAAUCGCGCGAGUGGUGUUCUCGGCGUUUUUAAUCGUUUACGGACAAUAUAUUGAGCGCAUUUAAGCCUGUGAAUGGUGGGACGUUUUGCUGCCAGUGCGCACUCUUCCCGAGGAAGAGUGGACUGCAGAAACUCCCAAAAAUCCCGGGAUUUGCCGUGAAGCCAUCUUGACGGCGCAAGAGGCAACAGGUGACCAUCAUCAACACAUUCCCGGAACGGUUCACUGGGUCUUCGGGACGAACCAACAGAAAGUUCCGAGGAUAGAAUUAAUCCCUCGCCAACUUCUGCGGUCAAUCGGCCCUUGGUCAGCUAUACCGGUUCCGGAAAAGGAAGAAAUAUGGACCUGUAAAUUACAUUCAAUAAAGUUGUUCAAUUGA